rnacentral:rRNA from 1 species
UACGUAGGCAGCAAGCGUUGUUCGGAGUUACUGGGCGUAAAGAGUAUGUAGGCGGUGUCCUAAGUUCGGUGUGAAAUCUCCCGGCUCAACUGGGAGGGUGCGCCGAAGACUGGGAUGCUGGAGUCUCGGAGAGGAACGCGGAAUUCCUGGUGUAGCGGUGAAAUGCGUAGAUAUCGGAAGGAACACCGGUGGCGAAAGCGGCGCGCUGGAUCCCUACUGACGCUGAGGCACGAAAGCCAGGGGAGCAAACGGG